rnacentral:rRNA from 1 species
UACGGGGGGGGGCAAGCGUUGUUCGGAAUUACUGGGCGUAAAGGGCUCGUAGGUGGCCAACUAAGUCAGACGUGAAAUCCCCAGGCUUAACCUGGGAACUGCGUCUGAUACUGGAUGGCUUGAAUUCGGGAGAGGGAUGCAGAAUUCCAGGUGUAGCGGUGAAAUGCGUAGAUAUCUGGAGGAAUACCGGUGGCGAAGGCGGCAUCCUGGACCGAGAUUGACACUGAUGAGCGAAAGCCAGGGGAGCAAACGGGG